rnacentral:rRNA from 1 species
GGAUAAUCAAAAGAGUAUACGGUGGAUGCCUCGACACGAAAAGCCGACGAAGGACGUAGCAACCUGCGAUAAGCCUCGGGGAGGUGGUAAGCAACCUGUGAUCCGUGGAUUUCCGAAUGGGGCAACCCAUCUUGAGUCAUGUCAAGAUAUCAUCGCCUGAAUACAUAGGGCGGUGAAGGGCACCCGCUGAAGUGAAACAUCUCAGUAAGCGGAGGAAAAAAGAACAAUAAUGGGCGAUAGGCGUUUGUUCUCAUUUUGGGAACAAGUGCCUAUUGUCUUGUGAUUCCCCGAGUAGCGGCGAGCGAAAGGGGACAAGCCUAAACCGUAGCAGUGGUUGGUUUUGCCGGAUGGAGAGCUUUUAGCUAGCCUGAAACGCGAGACCGUUGCAAGGUACAAGCCGUUGCUGCUGCGGGGUUGUGAAAUGAUGACGUUCGGGCGCUUGUACGCUCGAGGUAAAGUUAAUACUUCCUUAGUAGAAAGGGUUGGAAUGCCCUGCCAGAGAAGGUGAAAGCCCUGUACGCGAAAAGGGUAAGCGCUUUACGGUUAUUGUCUUCAAGUACCACGGGACUCGAGAAACCCUGUGGGAAUCCGGCGUGACUAUGCGCCAAGGCUAAAUACUUUUCGUGAUCGAUAGUGAACUAGUACCGUGAGGGAAAGGUGAAAAGCAGGCCGGUGAGGCCGAUGAAAUAGUAUCUGAAACCGUAUACUUACAAGGAGUGGGAGUCCCAAUUUAUUGGGAUGACCGCGUGCCUAUUGAAGAAUGAGCCAACGAGUUUGUGCAUGCUGCAUGUUUAAGCUCUACGGAGCGAAGGCGCAGGGAAACCGAGUCUUAACCGGCGUAUGUCCCGAUUUAUCGGGCAUGAGCAGUAUGCACAAGACCCGAAACCGGGUGAUCUAACCAUGGUCAGGAUGAACCCUGAUGAUAAGUCAGGGGAAGGUCCGAACCCACGCGCCGUGCGACACGCGGGGAUGAACUGUGGUUAGGGGAGAAAUUCCAAUCGAACUCGGUAAUAGCUGGUUCUCCUCGAAAUAGCUUUAGGGCUAGCCUUGAAUUAUAUGCAUCCUGGUGGUAGAGCACUGGAUGGGAAGUGGGGGGUAACCUACCCUUUCCAAUCAAACUCCGAAUGCCGGGAAUGUAGAUUCGGGAGUCAGACAGUGGGGGCAAAGCUCCACGCGUCAAAAGGGAAACAGCCCAGACCCUCGUCUAAGGUCCCAAAAUUGUCAUUAAGUGUAAAAGGUGGUGUUGUGACUCAAACAACCAGGAGGUUGGCUUAGAAGCAGCCAUCCUUUAAAGAAAGCGUAAUAGCUCACUGGUCAAGUUGUUUCGCGCCGAAAAUGUACCGGGGCUCAAAUGACGUACCGAAGACAGGGAUUUUUCGAUUUAUCGGAAAAUGGUAGAGGAGCAUUCCAAGUGCGGCGAAGUCGUAUCGUAAGGUACGGUGGAGCGCUUGGAAGAGAGAAUGUUGGCAUGAGUAGUAUAAAGGCGGGUAAGAACCCCGCCCACCGUAAGCCUAAGGUUUCCAUGGGCAACGCAAAUCGGCCCAGGGUUAGUCGGUCCUAAGGUCAACCCGAAAGGGGUAGCCGAUGGAUGAGCAGGUUAAUAUUCCUGCACUUGUAUGUGUUUUCGAUGGGGUGACGGAGUGCAAAGGUCAUAGCGUUUUUUGGCUAUAGGCGUUGCUGGCGAAGUAAGUGUGUGUCCCAGGCAAAUCCGGGACACGUGAAGCGCUGAACGUUGGCAGAAGGGAAAGCUCUCGGGCAGACCCGAUUGUGGUGAAUGCACUCCCCAGAAAACCCUCUAGAGCUAAGCACAUGCAAUCCGUACCGCAAACCGACACAGGUAGGCGAGUUGAGUAUACGACGGUGCACGAGAUAACCCUCGUUUAGGAACUCGGCAAAAUAGCGGCCGUAACUUCGGGAUAAGGCCUGCCCCGAGCAAUCGGGGCCGCAGCGAAAGAUGUCAAGCGACUGUUUAUCAAAAACACAGGUCUCUGCAAACUCGUAAGAGUAUGUAUAGGGGCUGAUGCCUGGCCAGUGUCCGAACGUUAAGGGGAGAGGUGAAACCCUUCGGGGCGUAGCUUUGAUCCGAAGCGCGGAUGAACGCCGGCCGUAACUAUAACGGUCCUAAGGCAGCGAAAUUCCUUGUCGGGUAAGUUCCGACCUGCACGAAUGGCGUAACGAUCUGGGCGCUGUCUCAACGAGGGACUCGGCGAAACUGUAGUAUGCGUGAAGAUGCGCAUUACCCGCGGCAAG